rnacentral:lncRNA from 1 species
AUAUAACUCCUAAAUUUCAAUAUAUAUCACUGAUCCAGUUGCUUAGGUGUGUGACCCUGUAAGAUCAUAUAAUAUUAGCAAUGGAUUCUCAAUCCAUAGAUCAUAAGCGGUUUCUAACAAAACAUUACAACCACCUAAUAUUAUAAGAUUGUCAACCACGACACUACGACUUUAACAAGAGUAAGUACAAAUGAUUUUAGGACAUUCCCAACAAUCUCCUACUUGUACUAGAAUCAUCUAUUCUCAUAAUCCUUUUGUCUCUAUAUCUCGAUCUCAGCAUAAGGCAAGAACUAGUGUCAUCCUUAUAAAGCUAGAUCACGUUUAUCGAACUCUGAUUUAUACUGAUAAAACAAACAACUGACAUUCACCUCGUUUGAGCACGGCCAUGCAUUUCUCAGUAUCAAAUCUUUGAUAGGCCCAUAGAUAUAUAUCUCCCGUUAUAUGGGAGGGACAAAUCUCAUCUUGUUUCAUCCAUGUUCUUUACAAACUUCCUAGAACACCUAAUCAAUGCCUUU